CUCCGGGGCACUGCUGUGACUGGCUGAGUGGACUCGAUAUCAGUUUAGUCACCGGGGAACUUCCUGUUGUUUACCAAGGCUCAAAGGCUUCACUCGUCCUGAGCUUUUUCUGUAAGAGAAGCCUCCCGUCGUCUUUGUUGUCCAUCUCUAAGAAGUUUUGCUGUGACCUUGUAAAGCGGUGCAACAGAUUCCUCUGAUUAUCUGGGCCAGCAGCUGUAAUAGCACGCAUGGUGUCUCUUGUUAUCUGAUUAUGGCUCUGAAGAACGUUUCAGAGCAGCAUGCGCAGAUAGAGGUUGGCAUAUAAAAAGAAGCAAGUCAGUGAGGACAAUGGAUAAUCACCAAAAGAGGAAUCUUACUUUUCUCACCAUUGGACUGAUAUUUAUGCUGAGUGGCGUAGAGUACGCUGUCAUUCUGCCUACAAUAUGGAGGUAUCUGCAGAUUUUGGAGGCCCCACCUUACUUCCUGGGUCUCGGUCUGUCUGCCUUCAGUUUGAGUGCACUGGUCACGGGCCCGCUAUUUGGCAUCUGGUCAGAUCGAAGCAAAACUACAAAGUCCAUUGUCCUUUUCUCAAAUGUUUUUGAGAUUGUUGGUAAUUUUAUGUAUUUCAUUGGAUACUCAAAGUGGCUUUUGUUAUGCAGUCGGAUUGUAGCAGGUAUCGGAGCAGGAGCCGGGUCCUCCAUCUUUGGCUUUUUGACUCGGAGCACUAUACCAGAGGAGCGAGCUGGAAUAUUUGCCGCCAUCAUGGCCGGUCGACAAGCCGGUCUUCUUGUCGGGCCGGCGUUCAACCUGUUCCUGCGGCUGUGUGAUUUCAAACUGGGCCCCUUUGUUGUGAACAAGUAUACGUCUCCUGGGAUCUUCAUGUGCCUUUUGUGGGUGCUGCUCCAGUUUGUCGUCCUGGCUAUGUACUGGGAUGUACCACCCAUUAGCUGCGAGGGGGGAGCCACGAUGAUGGAGAUGAAACAGGAGGAGGUAGAGGAAGAGGUGCCGCUCAUGGGGUCUGACGAGGAGCCGGUGCACACCUACAGAGCCCUCAACUCCGACCAACUGGAGACCUCCACGUCGUCUGACAUGCAACCCGUCCACAGAGCUUCGGACCCCUUCCGAAACUUCAGCGCCAGCAGAGAGUUCCUGAGAGAAGAGGUAGUUGUUGUCCUCACGGCUCAGUUCAUCACUCUCUUCAAUCAGACGGCGCUGGAGACCAUGGUGACCCCUCUUACGCAGCGCUACUUCAACUUUGGCGAGCUGGGCAACAGCCUCAUGUACAGCCUGUGCGGGGUGGAGGUCAUCCUGGGCUUCUUCUUUGUACGCUGGCUGAGCAGGAAGGUGGCGGACCGCGCCGUGCUGGCAGUGGGCCUGGUCAUCUGCUGCACCGCCUGUAUCUGGUGCCUCAUCUUCCUCUGCAAACCCCGAGGUGGUUAUGGAUGGGAGCUGUCGGCCUUCAUCAUCGGAGUGUUUCUGCAGCUGCUGGGGCUUCCCUUUGUGGCCGUGUCUCAGGUGUCUCUCUUCUCCAAAGUCACUGCUGAGAAAACACAAGGAUUCAGCCAAGGUGUCAGACGCUCAGUUGGGGGCCUGGCCACAAUCUUGGGUCCCUUGUGGGCUGGAGGAUUGACUAAUAAUUUGUACAUAAUGUUGGGCAUGAUGCUGGCACUACUCCUUAUGAUCACAGUUAUGACAGCACUGUCCUACGACCGCCUGACUGAGCCGCGGGCGGUGCAGAGUGCACAGAGUUCUGACAGCGGAGGAUAGAGCUGCAGUCCUUCUGAAGAGCGGGAGAGGCUAAAGACGGACAGAGGGAGCGCCCUUCACCUCUGAGAGAAUCAAUACAGGUUUACUGCAGAGGGAAAUGUAUGAAUGUGGAAUAAAAAAUGUUCAAAACACAUGCUGGACCUCAGAAGCUGCUGUAAAGAGAGAGAUGGAGAACAGAUGACACAAUGAGUCCAGAAGUGGAGUUGUCAACAUCUGAGAAGCUCCAUGUCAGUGCUGCUGAUAGGAGAAGAAGGUCAGACAGAGUGAAGAUUUUCAGAUGUUGUUUUUUUUCCCUUCUAAUGCUGGAAUAAACUAGGCACUUGAAUGUAACACAAACAAAAAUGCAAAGCUUUGAAUGAAAGUAAACCAGCUUGUUUUGAUCUGAUCCUCUACGCCGGCUUGGCAUUCGAGGAGCUCUGAAUUAAAACCAAAUUUAAAAAGGACUUACUUAAUUAGUCGUCUCUAUCUUCUUACUAAGGGGGGGAUUUAAAGUUUAAUUGCCUGUGUUCAUAAUUCAAAACAUGACUAGGUGUGAGUAGUGUACAGUCAGCUGUUCUUGCCUAUAGCCUCCUCUAGGAUGUGCUGCGUGCUACGUAUCUGCACUACGAGACGAGAAUGCAACAUCAAGGCAUUGUAGAUUCCCUUUGUAGCAAUGAACACGGGUUUGGCCAAUCUCUCUGUUUUUGCAUAAUUGCAGAUAAGGCUCAGUAACCUUUCCAGUUUUCUUCACU